CCUACGGGAGGCUGCAGUGGGGAAUAUUGGGCAAUGGGCGCAAGCCUGACCCAGCAACGCCGCGUAUAGGAAGAAGUUUUUCGGAAUGUAAACUAUUGUCGUUAGGGAAGAGAAAGGACAGUACCUAAGGAGGAAGCUCCGGCUAACUACGUGCCAGCAGCCGCGGUAAUACGUAGGGAGCGAGCGUUAUCCGGAAUUAUUGGGUGUAAAGGGUGCGUAGACGGGAAAACAAGUUAGUUGUGAAAUCCCUCGGCUUAACUGAGGAACUGCAACUAAAACUAUUUUUCUUGAGUACAGUUGAGGUAGGCGGAAUUCGUGGUGUAGCGGUGAAAUGCUUAGAUAUCACGAAGAACUCCGAUUGCGAAGGCAGCUUACUAAACUGCCACUGACAUUGAUGCUCGAAAGUGUGGGUAUCAAACAGGAUUAGAUACCCCAGUAGUC
rnacentral:rRNA from 1 species